rnacentral:rRNA from 1 species
UACGUAGGUGGCAAGCGUUGUCCGGAUUUAUUGGGUUUAAAGGGUGCGUAGGCGGUUCAAUAAGUCAGUGGUGAAAUACGGCAGCUCAACUGUCGAGGUGCCAUUGAUACUGUUGGACUUGAGUACAGACGAGGUAGGCGGAAUUGACGGUGUAGCGGUGAAAUGCUUAGAUAUCGUCAAGAACACCGAUAGCGAAGGCAGCUUACUAGGCUGUAACUGACGCUGAGGCACGAAAGUGUGGGGAU